GCCAUGUUUGUCUCUGGUUUUCCAGUUUUAGCACUGAAAGUCCUUGCAUCCAUCUUACAUCUUUUGCAAACCAGGAUUGUCAGUCACAUUAUAGGUUAGUCAUCCAGGACCAGACUACAAGCGCCAUGGGAACAGGGACUCCUUUCCAAAGCUAGAAUAGCGCUGACACAUAGGUUGUUCAGUAUAUGUUAAAUCUUUUGCACAGCAAGUUAAGUCUAGUGAUGAUUUUUAUUCCAGAAAACUUGGAUUUUUAGAUUAUCAAAAUCUUUUUCUUUUUUUCGCUGUGCCUGUGGCCUGCAGAGUUUCCUGGGCCAGGGACUGAACCCACACCACAGCAGUGACCAGAGCCGCAGCAGUGACAAUAGGAGAUCCUUAACCCACUGAGCCACCAGGGAACUCCUUAAAAUCUUUUAAUAUAGCUGAGUCCUCUGGACAGGUACCCAUCUUAAAAAAUGUAAUUAAUAUUAGUUCAGCAAGGAUAAGCAAAACAACGUAUAUUUUUAAGCUUCUCUAAAAUUAAAUCAGAGAAUAGUUAGAUUAAGAAAAGAACUUCUGGUUUUCUCUUUCCCAUUAUCAUUCACAUAUGGUUCUUCAAGUAUCUGUUCACUCUUCUGGUCAUUAUUUCCUCCCUGCCUCCUCCCAUCCAUUUCCAUGACCCAUUGCAGCAUCUCUGAACUCUCCACAGUUCCUUUACUUUUCCUUCCAGGGGACCUUGUUUUCUCCACCAUGUGAAGUUUCCCAUGGACUGUGAUUCUCUGCAGUCUCCUUGACAGCCUUUUCUUCCCUCUUCGUCUAUCUGACAGCACAUAGGAUGACCACAUUAAUUUUCCUCAACCAUUUUUCUUCUUGGGUCAUUUCUGCUGUGUGAGAAUGGUUAUCUGUUGCCCAUAUGACGUUCAUUUGUUUGUUUAUUUUACAGCUGCACCUGAGGCAUAUGGAAGUUCCCAGGCUAGGAGUCGAAUUGGAGCCGCAGCUGCAGGCCUACAUCACAGCCACAGCCACGUGGGAUCCAAGCCACAUCUGCAACCCACAUCCACCGCUUUUGGUAACACCAGAUCCUUCACCUAUGGAGCGAGGCCAGGGAUGGGACCCGCCACCUCAUAUGAAGUUUAUGUUACUUUGUCUGGUUUUUAAUAUCUCCUACAGCCUCUCCCCAUGCUAUCUGUCGCCAGGAAUAUGUGUUAUUUCUAGACUACCAAACAAUUCUCCAACACCAGCUUCCAGUUCAAUGCAUCUUGACACUAUCCACCCUGGAGAUGAUGUCAGAUCCCAUAGGUUAAGUGCUCAGUCCUACAAGACUGGCCCCACUUCAGAAGCCAAGCCCAGACCAGGUUGUUACCUGUGCUUCUCACAGCCUGGCUAUAAAUCAGAGGUUCCCAUGUAUCCCCGCCACCAUCCAGGUUUGAUCACUAGAGCAGCUUGCAGAAAUCUGGGAAUGUUUUUACUUACUAGAUUACCAGUUUAUUGCAAAAGAAGUUAAACGAAGUAAAUGAACAGCCAGAUGAAGAGAUACAUAGGGUGAGGUCAGGAAGGUGCCAAACAGGAGCUUCUGUCCCCCUGGAGUUUUUGUGACACCUUCUCAGCUAGGCUACCUCCAGGCUUUCCAAAAUUCACCUCACCAACAUAAGAAAAGAUACCUUUGUCACACUCAUCACUUAAGAUCUUCCAAGGGUUUGGGGGGCUCUGUGCCAGAAAUGGGACAAGGAUCAAUUAUCUAUAUUUUAUUAUAAAUCACAAUACUACCUUAUAUAAUAUCCUAAUGGCUCUAAAUGAAAACACCCCUGUCUUUAUUUUAUUUUUUUGUCUUUUUAGAGCCGCACCCACGGCAUAUGGAGGUUCCCAGGCUAGGAGUCUUAAUUGGAGCUGUUGCUGCCGGCCUACGCCAGAGCCACAGCAAUGCCAGAUCUGAGCCUCAACUGAAACCCACACCACAGCUCAUGGCAAUGCUGGAUCCUUAACCCACUGAGCGAGGCCAGGGAUCAAGCCUGCAACCUUAUGAUUCCUAGUCAGAUUUGUUUCCACUACACCACAAUGGGAACUCCAAAAACACCCCUGUCUUCAAGGAGGUUCUUCUGUCUUGUUAAGGAUGGUAAGAGAUACACAAUUAACUAAUAGAAUAGAGAUGGGGUCUAGUAUAACGAAAUACAAAGAAAGGGGCAGUAGGUAUUUAGAGCAUAAAAAUGUCAUCAAUUAGGGAGAUGAGAAAUGUUUUCAUUAAAGAGGUAACAUUUCAGAUGGGUCCUGAAGGAGGGGGAACAACAAAGACCUCAUCUACAAGGGGAAAGGGGGGCUAGGGCAUGUGGAAGAGAUACUGUGGACGGAGGAAAAUAAGGAACAUAUUUAGGAAGAGUAUCAGUCUAGUGUGUGUGAAGCAAAAGAUGCAGCUAAAGAAGGGAAGAGAGGACUAGGCAGUAUUAAGGUAUCCCUGAGUAAAAAGUUGAAUUCCAGAGUUUCCUAUUCAUUUUUUCAGUUGGUAAACAGUAGGGACUCCGAGAGUGUUUUGGGUUUUAUGCAGCAGAAACAGAACUGGUUCUGGAAUAGAUCCAGCAGCAGUACCUAGAACUGAAUGGAGAAAUUUCGGAAAGGAGAGGACUAUGGCCAGUAGGUCCUUGGUAAUUGCAAGCCCACUGCAGGAGACCUUUGAGUUAAAUUUCUCCAUGCAUAUCUACAGUGUUAUGUUAAUGUGUUUAACCUCUACUGACAAUACUAUCAAGAAUGUUUAGUACCAAAUUAAUCACUCUUCCAAAGAAUUUAAACUGAAUCUGCCUGUGAAAAAAUAUUUUAGAUUUGGAAAUUUUGGAGAUUGGCAUUCCUUCUGGAUACUGUGAUAUAGCCCUUAAAAUAAUUCACUUAAUUGCUAAUACUGAAGUUCCUGUGCACACUGAUAGUACCUACAAUAAUGUUCUUUUUCAGUUUGGAUGACACUGGAAUAGUGAUCUUUGAUAAUUACACAAUUUCAGAUAAAAGGUAAUGAGGUCGCUUUCAAGUCAAUUCAUACUAUUUUCUUAAUUUCUAUAUUGCAGUGGCAACUUGAGUUUUAAAGGGAAAAGUAUAAAAGCAAUUGGGUUAGUUGAAGUUAACUUUUUGGGGGUAAUAUACAACAGAAAACAGGAGUUCCUGCUGUGGCACUGUGGGUUAAGAAUCUGACUGCACAGAGUGCCCUUCUUGGCUCAGCAGUUCACAAACCUGACUAGGAUACAUGAGAAUGCUAGUUCAAUCCCUGGCCUCACUCAGCAGGUUAGGGAUCCAGUGUUGCCAUGAGCUGUGGUGUGGGUCACAGAUGUGGCUUGGAUCCUGUAUUGCUGUGGCUAUGGUGUAGUCCAGCAGCUGUAGCUCCGAUUGGACCCCUAGCCUGGGACCCUCCAUAUGC
rnacentral:lncRNA from 1 species